UACGGAGGGAGCUAGCGUUGUUCGGAAUUACUGGGCGUAAAGCGCACGUAGGCGGCUUUGUAAGUUAGAGGUGAAAGCCCGGGGCUCAACUCCGGAACUGCCUUUAAGACUGCAUCGCUUGAAUCCGGGAGAGGUGAGUGGAAUUCCGAGUGUAGAGGUGAAAUUCGUAGAUAUUCGGAAGAACACCAGUGGCGAAAGGCGACUCGCUGGACAAGUAUUGACGCUGAGGUGCGAAAGCGUGGGGGAGCAAACAGGAUUGAGA
rnacentral:rRNA from 1 species